CGGGGUUGGAAAUGGGGUUGGGGGUCCCAAAUUGGGGUUUGGGGGGGCUCAGAUUCACGGUCGGUGUGGCCUUGGACUGGGACCGAGAGCCUGGAUGGGCCCGGGGAGACUCGAAAUGGGGCGGGAGAAGCUCGGGGUUGAAAUUGGGGUCUGGGGGGUCCCAAAUUGGGGUCUGGGGGUCUCCAAUCCAUGGCCGCGGUGGUGUCGGGCCGGGAGCGCUCCAGAUGGGCGGGAGGAGCUGGAGGUGGAGCUGGGGCCGGGCAGGAGGACAGGAAAUAAACGAUACAAAUUACAGGAAUGUCCUGGCCGUCAUUCCCAAAAAUCCUGGGAAUGGAAUGGUGAUGGGAGCAUCACCCAGGGAUGGUGCCAGCUCUUCCCCUUAAUUAACUAAUUAGUAACGCUCCUGGUUAAUUGGGUGAGCUCAGCAGAGGUGAAUCAGCUCCUUUUUGUGGGAGCAGCCAGUGGGUGAUGUUCAGGGAAAGAAUUCCUGCAAAAUCCCUGUGGCACUGCUGGGGGCCAAAUCCUCAUCUCCCUGCUGCUGAGCCAGCCUUGCUGGGCAUGGAAUUCCAGGAUUUGGGGCCAAAAAUCCAAUUAUUCCUGAAAAAAAGAGUGUGGAUAAUGCAGGAGUCUCCGUAGGGAAAGACUGGUGAGGGAACAAAUUGUGAGGGAACAUCUGGGAAGAAGCUGGAGGAAUUUCUUGUGGAAUCCCUCAGGUGUCUCCUGGAUGAAGGAUUGGGACAUUCCCAUGUUCCCAACCUGUUCCUGAAUUUCCAAAGGAUUCAGAAGGAAUUUGAGUUUUUUUCUUUUGUUUUCCCACCAAUCCUUCCCUUUCCAUGGAUUAGCUGCCAAGAGUUGCUGUGGAUGGAAUUCUGGGAUUUUGGGGCAGAUGUGGCCAAAAAUCUGAUUUUUUUUCCUUAAAAAAGGAUGUGGAUAAUGGAAGAGUCCAGAUCUAAUCUGGGAAUAAAUAGUGGGGAACCUUUUGGGAAGAAGCUGGAGGAAUUUCUUGUGGAAUCCCUCAGGUGUCUCCUGGAUGAAGGAUUGGGACAUUCCCAUGUUCCCAAACCUGGGACAUUCCCAAGUUCCCAAACCUGGGACAUUCCCAAGUUCCCAAACCUGUUCCUGAAUUUCCAAAGGAUUCAGAAGCAAUUUGAUUUUUCUGUUGUUUUAUUUUCCUGCCAAUCCCAGUUUUUCCAUGGAUUAGCUGCCAGAUGUUAAAUCCACAUCUCCCUGCUGCUGAUCCAGGCCUUGCUGGGCAUGGAAUUCCAGGAUUUGGGGCAGUUUGGGGACAAAAAUCCAAUUAUUCCUUAAAAAAAGAGUGUGGAUAAUGGAAAAGUCCCCACAGGGAAAGAUUGAUCUGGGAACAAAUUGUGAUGGAACAUUUGGGAAGAAGCUGAAGGAAUUUCUUGUGGAAUCCCUCAGGUGUCUCCAGGAUGAAGGAUUUGGACAUUCCCAAGUUCCCAAACCUGGGACAUUCCCACCUUCCCAAACCUGUUCCUGAAUUUCCAAAGGAUUCAGAAGCAAUUUGAUUAUUUUUUAAUUUUAAUUUCCCACCCAUCCCAGUUUUUCCAUGGAUAUCAAAUCCACAUCUCCCUUUUAAGGAAUCCCAGGGGUUGCUGUGGUUGGAAUUCCAGGAUUUUGGGGCAGAUGUGGCCAAAAAUCCAAUUAUUCCCUAAGAAAGAGUGUGGGUAAUGGGAGAGUCCAGAUCUGAUCUGGGAUCAAAUGGUGGGGAAUGUUUUGGGAAGCAAUGGAAUUUCCUGUGGAAUAUUUGGGAUGGUGGAAGCUGGAGCCGGAUGAUCCCUGAGAUCCCUCCCCAAACCAUUCAAAGGAUUUAAAUCUCAACUGGAGUUUUCCUUGGAAUGAAAACAGGGUUUAAUUCUCAGCUGGAUUUUUCCUUGGGGAAAAAAAAGGAUUUCAUUCCCAACUGGAUUUUCCUUGGAAAAAAAAAGGGAUUUUAAUCCCAGCUGGAUUUUUCCUUGGAAUUAAAAAAGGAUUCAAUUCCUGACUGGAUUUUAACUUGGGAAAAUAAAAAAAAAGGCAUUUCAUUCCCAAUUGGAUUUUUUCUUGGGUGAAAAAAAGGGAUUCCAUUCCCAGCUGGAUUUUCCUGGGAUUUAAAGCAGGGUUUCAUUCCCAGCUGGAUUUCCCUUGGGAUUUAAAGCAGGGUUUCAUUCCCAGCUGGAUUUCCCUGGGAUUUAAAGCAGGGUUUCAUUCCCAGCUGGAUUUCCCUGGGAUUUAAAGCAGGGUUUCAUUCCCAGCUGGAUUUCCCUUGGGAUUUAAAGCAGGGUUUCAUUCCCAGCUGGAUUUCCCUUGGGAUUUAAAGCAGGGUUUCAUUCCCAGCUGGAUUUCCUGGGAUUUAAAGCAGGGUUUCAUUCCCAGCUGGAUUUUCCCUGGGAUUUAAAGCAGGGUUUCAUUCCCAGCUGGAUUUUCCCUGGGAUUUAAAGCAGGGUUUCAUUCCCAGCUGGAUUUCCCUGGGAUUUUCCCAUGGAUUUUCCAGCAGGAGCCGAGGGUGACUCAGGGCUCCCAGGGGCUGGGACAAACCCCAGGACAAACCCCGGAAUUCCAGCGCUGCCAGGCCUGGCUCUGUCCCUCCCUCUGGAGCAAUCCUGGAUUUCAGAAGGAAUUCUCUUUUUGGGAACAGCCUCUGCUCUCUUCUCCUUCAGCUUCCAAGUUUUUUUUUUUAACUUGGAAUAGAAAAAGAAUCCUGAGGGGGAAAAAUUCCUCCCUGUUGGGGGAAAUGCUCCUGGAGAAUUCCAUGGAUCCAAAUCCAGGGUCUCCUGCUGGACUGGAGAGCGUUUCCCUGGGAGAGGAGGCCGGGAAGGGCGAGCUGAUGAACGAGGACAUCCGGAUCCAUUCCUGGCCUUGCUCCUACUACCUGGACACCAGCAAGCAAUGGAUCCCCGGGAAGCUCUCCCUGACUCCCACUUCCAUCAGGUUCACGGCUGACAAAUCGGGAGAGCUCCUGGUGGAUUUCCGUCUGUCCGGGAUCAGCCAGAUCAAGAAGGAAUCUUCCCAUUUGAUCUUCAGCUCCCUCACCGUCCUGGAGAAGGGCACCAAGCACUGGUUCAGCUCCCUGCAUCCCAACAGGAAUGUGGUGUUCAACAUCCUGGAGCAUUUCUGGAGGGAGCAGCUGGUGUCCGGCCAGGAGGGCGGAGCGGGAGCGGCCUUGGAGUCCAGCAAGGGCAAGGAAUUGACGGGAAUGCUGGAGGGAUCCCAGAAACGCCUGGAGGACACGGCCAAGGUGCUGCAUUCCCAAGGGGAACAGUUCGACAACAUCAUGAGGGGACUCCACAAGAUCGAGGGGGACAUGGAUGUGGCCGACAGGUUCGGAAUGGGAACGUUCCCGGAGCUGGGAAAGGCUGUUGACAGAGCUGGAAUCUCCCUCCUGGUGGCCCUUCAGCACCAAACUCUGGAAAACUCCCGUGGAGGCGAAGCCCAAGGAAAGCCCCGCGGCUCCGGACGCCGGAAGCCAGGAGGGAAUUCUGCUGCGGAUCCCGGUGAUCAUCACCCACAGGACAGAUUCCAGCGCCAAACCCGGCAAGCUCACGGUGCUUCCCUCGGGCCUGGAGAUCAAGGAUUGCAAUUCCCAGCUCCUGCACCGCUUCGAGGCGCGGGAGGUGGACGACAUCUGGGUGCACAGUCCCUACGAGAUCAGCGUCCGGCAGAGGUUCAUCGGCAAACCCGACACCUCCUUCCGCCUCCUGGCCGCCCGCAUGCCCGAGGCCAUCCCCAUCCUCCAGAUGCACUUCAGCAGGAAAAUCCAGUUCCUGGAGGAUGCCCUGGGAUUUGCUGGAGCCAGGAAGUCUCCUCAGGCGGAUCUGGGGACGUCCAUCUGGCAGGCAGCCACGGGGUUCCUGGGAGCCGCGGUGAGUCCGGGAUCGCCGGCGGGGAGCGCCGAGGGCACGGACAGGGAGCAGGUGCAGCUGCAGAAAAUAUCCCAGGAGGAAGCCAAGGAGCUGCGACAGAUCCUGAGGAAGCUGAAGGGCCUGGCCCUGGAGACGGAGGCGGAGCUGGAGCGGCAGGACGAGGCCCUGGACUCCAUCGGCAGCUCCGUGGAUCGCGCCACGCUCACCAUCGACCGGCACAACCGCAGGAUCAGGAAGCUGACGUAGCUUCCCGCCGGGAACGGCGCCGCCACGGAGAGCGGGAAGCCGGGAUGGUCGGGACCGGUUCUUCCAGAGACACUUUGGGAGGGGUUUGGGAUCAGGUUUGGAAAAUGGCGCUGCUGGCGGUGAGUUCCUGAGAGGAUUGGAGCGGUUCCUGGAUCUUGGAUGAUGGUUGGAUCUUGGAUGAUGGUUGGAUCUUGGACGAGGGCUGGAUCUUGGAUGAUGGUUGGAUCUUGGAUGAUGGUUGGAUCUUGGACAGUGUUUGGAUUUUGGAUGAUGGUUGGAUCUUGGAUGAGGUUUGGAUCGUGGACAGUGUUUGGAUUUUGGGUCACAGCUGGACCUUGGAUCAUGGCUGGACCUUGGAUGAGGUUUGGAUCUUGGACAGUGUUUGGAUGUUGAAUGAUGGUUGGAUCUUGGAUAAUGAUUGGAUCUUGGAUGGUUGGAUCUUAGAUGAGGGUUGGACCUUGGAUCACGUUUGGAUCUUGGAUUUUGGUUGGAUCUUGGAUCACAGAUGGUUGGAUCUUGGAUCACACA